GUUAGGUUAUCUCAGUGGUUAGAGCUUAGGACUUGUGACCGGUAGGUCGCGGGUUCGAAUCUCGUCAGAGAAAG
rnacentral:tRNA from 1 species